rnacentral:rRNA from 1 species
GUGCUAAGGUAGCAUAAUCAUUUGCCUCUUAAUUGGUGGCUAGUAUGAACGGAUAAAUGAGAGCCAAGCUGUCUCUUACUCACAACUAUAAACUAACCUCUAGGCGAAAAGGCCUAAAUAAUUUUAUAGGACAAGAAGACCCUGUCAAGCUUUACUAUUAAAAUUAAUUAAAAAUAUUUAAAUAAACACUAUUAAUCAUUUAGUUUCGUUGGGGCGACUGGGGACCAAAACAAACGUCCCCCUAAUUCUCAGGAUAAUAAUCCAAAUAAAAUGAUCCUUAAAAAGACCAAGAGAUAAGCUACUGCAGGGAUAACAGACUAAUUUUCCCUAAGAGCCCAAAUCGAAGGGAAAGUUUGGCACCUCGAUGUUGGCUUAAGACAACCAUAAAGUGCAGCAGCUUUACACGGUAGGUUUGUUCAACCUUUAAAGUCUUACAUGAGCUGAGUUCAGACCGGCGUAAGCCAGGUCAGAUUCUAUCCAUAAAAUAAACACCUUUCCCCGUUUAAUUGUACGAAAGGACCCUAAACGGCUAUUAAAUAGACAAUUCUAAACAAUCAGAUUCAUUCUAAAUUAAUCACUAUAUUAAACCAUGCAGGUCAGAUUCCUCAAAAGCAAAUUUGACUCCCUUCCAUCGUGA